UCCCGCGGACGAACUUCGCCCACGCCCCCCACCAAGGCUAUAGCCCACCCGUUUUUUGGCCAUUUUUCCGCUGGGGGGUCUUGGGACCCCGACCUUCGGUGGCUGGUUUUUGGGCGCGGCUGUGCCCGUGGCCUAUUUUUGGCACACGGAGGCCGCCCGCCAAGUCUGGUGCCAUUCCGAGUCCCGCGGACGAACUUCGCCCAC
rnacentral:lncRNA from 1 species